AAUGGUAUCAGUGGUAGGGGAGCGUUCUAAGGACAGUGAAGUCAGACCGGAAGGACUGGUGGAGUGCUUAGAAGUGAGAAUGCCGGUAUGAGUAGCGAAAGACGGGUGAGAAUCCCGUCCACCGAAUGCCUAAGGUUUCCUGAGGAAGGCUCGUCCGCUCAGGGUUAGUCAGGACCUAAGCCGAGGCCGACAGGCGUAGGCGAUGGACAACAGGUUGAUAUUCCUGUACCACCUCUUUAUCGUUUGAGCAAUGGAGGGACGCAGAAGGAUAGAAGAAGCGUGCGAUUGGUUGUGCACGUCCAAGCAGUUAGGCUGAUAAGUAGGCAAAUCCGCUUAUCAUGAAGGCUGAGCUGUGAUGGGGAAGCUCCUUAUGGAGCGAAGUCUUUGAUUCCCCGCUGCCAAGAAAAGCUUCUAGCGAGAUAAAAGGUGCCUGUACCGCAAACCGACACAGGUAGGCGAGGAGAGAAUCCUAAGGUGUGCGAGAGAACUCUGGUUAAGGAACUCGGCAAAAUGACCCCGUAACUUCGGGAGAAGGGGUGCUUUCUUAACGGAAAGCCGCAGUGAAUAGGCCCAAGCGACUGUUUAGCAAAAACACAGCUCUCUGCGAAGCCGUAAGGCGAAGUAUAGGGGGUGACACCUGCCCGGUGCUGGAAGGUUAAGGAGAGGGGUUAGCGUAAGCGAAGCUCUGAACUGAAGCCCCAGUAAACGGCGGCCGUAACUAUAACGGUCCUAAGGUAGCGAAAUUCCUUGUCGGGUAAGUUCCGACCCGCACGAAAGGUGUAACGAUUUGGGCACUGUCUCAACCAGAGACUCGGUGAAAUUAUAGUACCUGUGAAGAUGCAGGUUACCCGCGACAGGACGGAAAGACCCCGUGGAGCUUUACUGUAGCCUGAUAUUGAAUUUUGGUACAGUUUGUACAGGAUAGGCGGGAGCCAUUGAAACCGGAGCGCUAGCUUCGGUGGAGGCGCUGGUGGGAUACCGCCCUGACUGUAUUGAAAUUCUAACCUACGGGUCUUAUCGACCCGGGAG
rnacentral:rRNA from 1 species